UACGAAGGGGGCUAGCGUUGCUCGGAAUCACUGGGCGUAAAGCGCACGUAGGCGGAUUGUUAAGUCAGGGGUGAAAUCCUGGAGCUCAACUCCAGAACUGCCUUUGAUACUGGCGAUCUUGAGUCCGGGAGAGGUGAGUGGAGCUCCGAGUGUAGAGGUGAAAUUCGUAGAUAUUCGGAAGAACACCAGUGGCGAAGGCGGCGCUCUGGGCCGGAACUGACGCUGAGGAGCGAAAGCGUGGGUAGCAAACAGG
rnacentral:rRNA from 1 species